AAAAAAUAUCGAGAGUAUUGUGCUACUCGACCACUUCAUUGAAAACAAUUAACCAUGAGGAGUCCAGUAACUACAUCUGCUCUAGCUCUUGUAUAUCCAGUCAAUAUUCUCAACUAUAACAAUGUUGUGGAUGCUUGUACAAAUAUUUCUUAGCUUCAAGUCUUAAGUAAACACCAACUGAUUUAAGCAAGUUAUAAUUUUAAAAUCAAUAUAACCUGCUACAGAAGAAAAUAAACAUAAAUGAAAAAGGGAGUUAAAAAAAUUUUGGGUAGGGUUAAUCUUCAUGGCCAAGCCUUUUAAGGCAGGAAAAUUUUAAGUGUCUUGAAGUCAAAUCUUUGGCAUUUAGGAAUUAUAAUUUUGGAUGAAUAUCUAAACUUUUCCACCUACCAUUUGAACAAAGAAUAUUAAUAUUGGAAUGGUAGAAGAGACACUUCAAGCAUCAAGGAUACCACUACAGCUCUGACAAUGUCACCCGGACGAAAUGACAGAUGCAUAUCCACUUUGUCAAUCUCUGUUGCUCUAACAUCUUGCUGCCUGAAAGAUCAGAGAUGUUUUGAAUUUUCGUAGUUCUCUGAAAAUGCUUAUUUAAUUAAUAGAACUAGUUAAAUGUAUGAAUAUCGAAUCGAGAAUAGUUCAAUGGGAACUUCAAACAGAUCCGGCAACACAAUGACAGAAUAAUUUAAUCAGGUCUUUAUUAGAAUGACUCUGUAAGCAUUACAUGCAAAAGAAAGUAAGACAACAAACAACGCACACUUUCCAAGUUUUAUGGAUCCAUGAAGAUAGUUUAAUAUGAUAAGAUGGGUACUGUGUACCAUGAGGGAAACAGAAAUUGCAGGAAAAAAAGGUUCUUUUUAUGCCAUUUCAAACCAAAACAUAGAGAAUAAAACUGUGACUGGUAUACAAAUAUUUUAUAGUUUUAUUCUCUAUAACCAUGCAUGCGUCAGUCUGUGUCUAUUUAUAUAUACUUAGUUAUGUAUGCCAAAUUAUAUUUAGAUAAUACCCAUAUAUGUAUUAUAUACAUUUAGCUACAUAUGUUGCAUAUAUGCAUGUUAUGUAUAUUGCCUCUAGCUGCCCCAGGAUCAAUAAAGGGGGACUUAAUGUCAUCCUGAAGAUUAAGAAGAAGCCUUGGCAUCACUUAUGCACUGAACCAAAUGCUGCAAUCAGAAAACUAUGGAGUUGUGAAACACCUUUUUCUUUUUUUUUUUUUUGAAUAACAAAUGUAACAUGUAUCAUUUAGUACAGACAUCAAAGGUGUGUAAAACCCAUGUACAAAAUUAUUUACAAGUCAGUAAGGAUAUCAAUUAGUUCUCUUAAAUUCUCCAUGUAGUACAACAGUUGAUUCAUAACCAAAAAACUGGGGAUUUGAAACCAUCUCUCUCAAAUUUUAUCAAUACCCUCUUCUACCCUUUCAAAAACUCUCCUAUUGUUUUCUCUGCACAUAACCC
rnacentral:lncRNA from 1 species